rnacentral:lncRNA from 1 species
UUAUUUUUCUUAGAGAACAGCAAUUCAACUCUAUGGCUUACCAAAGAAACUAUACACCAGCAAUGUGUACAAGGCAAUUGAAUGUAUCGUCAUGUUGACAUGUGUUAGUUCAGUUGGGUUUGCAGAGGAACUACUUGAAAGGUCAGUUCUAAAAAAUCAUGUGCUCUUUCGUUUGCAAAUGAACAACAUUUUUCAAUUGAUGUUUUUUUUAUCACUUGAAAUUGUUUCGAUUAAAAUAAUGGUUUGGACAAUUUUCAGAAAGUUUAGAGUAGGCUGGGGCACUUUUACAUGUUUUCAAAAAUAUCCUGUGGUCUCCGCUUUGAUAAAUAAAUAAUAAUAAAUAAAUAAAUUAGCAUAGGAUUGCCUCUACCCAAAAUAUUCCAAUUCAUAUUUUUAUCAUGCUAAAGUAAUUGUUUUGAUUAAAAGAACAGUUUUGAACAAUUCUUGGAAAGUUUGAAAUAGCUUGGUGCACUUUCAAAAAUUUCCUGUGACUGCCUUUGGUUAGCCUCUGUAUACUGUUUGCAAAUGACCAACUUUUUCAACUCGUGUUUUUAUCACAUUGAAUGUAAUCGUUUUGUUUGAUUAACCUAUUGAGUCACAUUGUGCCCUUAUGCACCCUACUUUAUUAUUUUACUCUGUCUAAUGCCAGACGAUUUUACUCGUCAAGGGGAGAGCGCUGGCGCUUAAUGGGUUAAAAGUAGGCUGUUGUGGUAUUUGAAAAACCCCAAAAUAUAUCGAUAUUUUUUUGCGAUUGUAUUUUGCUUAAUUUUAUGCAAAAUUUGCUUAAUUUUAUGCAAAAGUUUCUGUUUUCAAAUUAUGCCGAACAGCCAUGAUAUAACAUGCAGCUUUGACUCAUCGGGUGUGUGAUAUUUUCAAUAAAGUGUGAGGCCAGUGAUCAGUAGUCUGUGAAAUGUCCGCUUUAAGAAUUGAAAAUGCAUAUUACUUAUUAGCAUUGAUUAUCGCACCGGAUGAAUCAUGCGUGAUAUUUUUGACCGGGAAUUUGAAACAAAGGUCGUCCUAGUAUCUCACCAGACAAACAAUGUCCAAUGAGGUUAGUCUUUGUUUUUCUAAAACAUUUGUAAUCCACUGUUGUUUACGUUCUAAAAGUUCUUUUUUGGCAAGCGCGAAAUGACAUAUUACACGUUGCAACGCCAACGUAUAAACAAACACAUGUUUUAGAUCUCGCUCUAACCUUAAUUUACGGAUCUUACCGUGGAGUUAACACAUUGAUCGUCUUUGUCCUUCUGAAAUAACUCCAAUCAGCGCUUGAAAAAGCUUGAGAUGACUUUUAAAUAUACAAACGUAAACAUGAUAUCGAUAAUAGGAAAAAAGAUCAAUAUUCCGAUAUAUCGAAAAUUUCAAUAUCGAGUAAUUGGUAUUUAUAAAAAAAAAGAUAAUUAUUGGUAUAUCGAUAUACUGCAACAGCCUAGUUAAAAGGUGGAAAAAUAUGCUUGGCCACCGUGGGAAUCGGACCUACAAGAAUACCAGCCCAAUGCUGUGCCAACUGAGCUAUAUCUGGUCACCUGACCACAUAGGGCUGGUAUUCCGAAGGUGGUAGGUUCAAUUACCACCUUGGCCAGGCAUAUUUUUCAAGGUUGCCCAGUGUGUAUAUACACUCAGAGUAACAUCACAAACAUCGUAUUCACCUGAGUACACAACAUCAACACAGAAAAAAUCACUUCAAAGUAAUUGUUAUAAUUAAAGGUGAUCUACAGUCCGUAUGUAAACAAAGCCUUUGUUUACAUUUUUGUGUCCAAAAUAUUGAGCUUUAUUUGACAAUUAUUUAUAUUUUCAAGCUUCUAGAGUACCAUAAUAAAUGAUCAAGAAACAACAAGCAGGCUUUUCAAGAACUCAAAACAUAGUUAAACUGUUUGUAUCAUAAAAAGUGGGCUCAUUUGUGCACAUGCGCAGAUCGGACUGUAGAUCACCUUUAAAAGAACAGUUCUUAGUGCAAAGUUGAUGAAGUCAAGUUUGUACUAUUGUGAUGGGGUGCAAGGCAUUACGUCAUUAUGUGACUCAACAAUGGAUCGAUCGAUGGAUGUAUAGUGUAAACAAUUCAAUCCGGGGGGAGCGCUUGCAAAUUAUUUUCGUAGCUUUGCAACGUUCGGCCAGCAUAUAUAUUAAAAAAUUUUCAAAUAAGAUUUUAUAUUUUUAUUCACAACGACAGAUGUUUUUCUGAUUUACAUUAUCUAGCAUUUAGAGGAACAAUCAUAAAUUAAAUAUCAAUUUUAAGAUAUGAAUGGCUAAUAUGUGUAGGUACUUUCUCGCCCUCAGUGCAACAAAAUCAAAUGAAACAACACACUUGCUCUGCACUGCGCCAAUUUUAAUAUGGGGAGGAGUUGCAGUACAAUGUUGUGUAUAGAACGGGUCUAUCAUUACUAUCAAAGUCAAAGAUGCAGUCACUUUUAACCUUGUUUUUGUGCUUAUAUUAUCUAACAAAGAAACAGAGUGAUACAGAAUAUAAAAAAGUGCCUGUGGAGUGUGGUCAUGAUAGUUUUAAUAUAAAUUAGCUUACACAUUUUAUUAAAAAUAACUCGAUACCGUAUACUACCUAUAAGGGUUGUAUAAGUAUAAACAACUCGCAUCUUAUAUUGCCAUUUUGUUGUAACUGUAAAAUUUUACUCUGGAGCACAGGCAUGCAAAAAGAGACUAUGGUUCUUAAUUCUUUAAUGUUUAUAUUAAAUAACGAUGGUAGUUAAUGUCAUGAUCACAGACACAGGCUCUGACAACAGGCGAAUCUUACUGCAUUUAUAACAAUAAGACGCACUUAGUUAUUGUUAUUUUGUCUUGAAUAUUAAGCCAUUCAACCCAAGCAUAUGCGUAAACAUCUGAUCAAACGCUGUACACUGUCAAAAUGUCAAUGUAGUAAACAAAGUAGUUAAAUGUAGUUCUAUAAUUAGCGCUGCAAAGCUUAUACAUUUCAAUCACGCAACACAAAUAUUUUAGCGAUUGUGAUUUGUUCUAGAGAACUGAGCACUGUAUGUGCUGCCUCUGAUGUGCUGUUUUAGCAUGAACAUAUUUGAUUUUUAAAUUGGGCGAUUGAUUUUAAAUUAAGGAAAUUGAAGGCUCAUGCAUUAUAUUUUCUAAUGAUCGAUAUAGUCAUGUUUAUUCAAUAUAGUCAUGUUUAUUCAAUAUAGUCUGCAUAUUAUAUAUGCCAAGUCUGCAAUUUCAAUAAGCAGCUUUAUAUACAUUCUGCAUUUUAUACAUUUUCUGCAGUCUACACUAUAGUUUAUACUGACUGUAAAGUCUGUAUGCUAUUUGUCAUUAUAAAAUUCAAUAAUUCAUGAGGAAAAUACAAAAGAAACAAAUGUUUAAUCAAUGUUUGUAAAUCGCAUAAAGAUUUGUCCUGAUUUACAUAAACUUCUGCUUUGAUUUUCUCGGCUUAGACAAUGCAUGUUUAUUUUUAAAUUACUUUGCCAAUGAACUCAUAAGAUCGGUUGUUUUAUAAUUACGAUAAAACGUUCUCAUCUCGUCUUCGGCUCGUGUUUGUAUAUCAGGUAAAAAAUCUCUAGUACUUAUGUUCCAUUAGUAUGUGUGGGAAAAUUAUAUUUCUGGAAAUGUAAACAGCAUACUAAAGUAAUCAAUUAAAAUUCUGUAGUAUAUACAGACUAUAAAAGUAUAAUAAUACAGACCAUGCACAAUAAAGGGUGGAUGUGGGGCCUAUAUAUAGACCCCUUAUAGUGUGCACACCCCUUAUAGUGCUUUCUGGUCAGUUGUCAUAUCAACUUUGCACUAUCCUUGGGAUCUCUGAGUUGACAAUUUCCAGAUGGUUCACAUUAUUUUCUAGUUAUAGACUUAUUAUAAUUGUAGGAAAAAGUGGUUGAAUCAAGCAGCAAGAAUAAUAAUCUUAACUAUGAGAUCAUGUACACAACAUAGUUUCAGUUCUUUUAAAACCGUCUUUGAACUUUUUGUUCAAGCCUAGUGACUUAUUUCAGUAGAUGAAAAUCAUCCCACCUUUUAUCCUGUCCUGACAAACUGUGAUCAUGUGAACAGCACUGUUAGUCAUUAAGUUGAUUUUCACCGUAAUUUACAUACUUUACCAACUCUGUCUAACGUCAGACAAUUUUAUUAAUCAGGGGGAGCACUGCAGUUAGUGAGUAAUUAGAAGCAUGGGCAGUCUCGUUAUGAAGCAUAAAAUCGUCUUGCGUUGGACAGUAAAAAACUGAGUAGAGUAUGCUUCAUGGUACAGCACAACAAAAUGGUUUAAAUUUUAUAUCUGAAUUAAUGAUUGUUUUGCUUUGUUUUACAGAUCAUUACUGAACAUGGUGAUGGAAUAGUAAUUUAUAAAAUGUCAUGUUACCAAGAUAAGACACCUCAAAGAGCAAUAUACAUGGGGAAAUAUCUUUAUUUUCCAACAAUGACAAUACAUCAAAGACAGUAAGAUCACGAAGCCAUGAAUUUGAAGAAAAUGUACCAAAUGACAAAGACGAUGAUGAAAUUGGAUGUUUGAGACGAAAUGAAAGGAUCGAAUGUUAUGGUCAGUAAUGGAUAUUUGUGGCUAUACUAAAUGGAUACAAAGAGACCAUGAUGGGUAAAUAUGGCCCUGUAAUGGUAGUCAGUUAAUGGAUAUACAAAGGCCACAGAAAUGUCUACUUUCAGGUGAUGUUUUUUUCUUGUUUGCCUGCGAACAGGCUGUAGAUAUGUAGAUACUUGUACCCAGGCCAUUGUUUGUUUUGUUCUGGGUACAAUGAAGUCGGUGAAGGCUAUUUCAGAUACGGUAGAGCACCUUGUCCCUAGCCCUUUAUCAAUGUGGCUGUUAAUUGAAUAUGGCGCCAAGCUAAGGAGUGCAGUUUAAUGCAGUUUAUAUUCCAUAUUUUCUACUGUUUUUGACGGUUUUUUGGUUGGUAGAACUUAUAUAUUGUGAAAUGUCAGAUAUGUUACAAUUUAUCUGAAAAAAUAUUUUCUAACAGAAUUUUUCUCCAACAUAAUUUAACGUAGUUUUAAAGUUGAUGUAUACUGCAUGAGUGAAUGAUGGUUGUGACUGAGUUGUUUAUUUAACAAUGAAAUUUAUACUAUUUUACUGAAGUUGGCAAGCUAUGAGCAGCUGAGCCUACAAUUAAAUAUUACUUGGCAUGAUGAAGAUGAUAUUAUUUAAUUUAUUUGAGCAGGACGAUACAUGCCAAUGUGGUCACAAUGCAUUAUAAAUUGACAACAUUUUAUUAGCAGUUUUAGAAAGCUAAUCUGUCAGACGAUAUUUUAUCAUUAUUAUAUUUAAAUUUGUGCAGGAUACCCACGUCACCGAAGUGUUUUUCAGUGGGGUCCUGCAUUAUAAAUUUCAACUUCAAUACAUAUAUAUUACAGAAUAACAUGCAAAUCUACAAUAACAUGCGUUAACAUACUUUUACUAUAUAUAGCCUAUAUACAAAACGUUAUGGAUCUAAGACUAUGUUUACUAUGUAAUUCUCGCCUACACAGCGUUUUUUUAAUAGAGCUUUAAACUUGUAUAACGAGUCAGUGUUUCUAAUGUCUGGUUCUAAGUUGUUAAAGUCGUUUGAUGCUUGAUAGCUUGGUAUGC